GACGAACGCUGGCGGCGUGCCUAAUACAUGCGAGUUGAGCGCUGAAGGUUGGUACUUGUACCAACUGGAUGAGCAGCGAACGGGUGAGUAACGCGUGGGGAAUCUGCCUUUGAGCGGGGGACAACAUUUGGAAACGAAUGCUAAUACCGCAUAAAAACUUUAAACACAAGUUUUAAGUUUGAAAGGUGCAAUUGCAUCACUCAAAGAUGAUCCCGCGUUGUAUUAGCUAGUUGGUGAGGUAAAGGCUCACCAAGGCGAUGAUACAUAGCCGACCUGAGAGGGUGAUCGGCCACAUUGGGACUGAGACACGGCCCAAACUCCUACGGGAGGCAGCAGUAGGGAAUCUUCGGCAAUGGACGAAAGUCUGACCGAGCAACUCCGCGUGAGUGAAGAAGGUUUUCGGAUCGUAAAACUCUGUUGGUAGAGAAGAACGUUGGUGAGAGUGGAAAGCUCAUCAAGUGACGGUAACUACCCAGAAAGGGACGGCUAACUACGUG
rnacentral:rRNA from 1 species